rnacentral:lncRNA from 1 species
UGUUUUCCUGUUUGAUUCUCCACAGAUAAAUUCACUGUGAAAAUCCUCACACUGGUAGGGUUCCAUUUGUGUGGAAUUUCACAGCCUGUGCCCACAGUCUAGCAAUGGAGGAGAUUUUGUUGUGUUUGGAUAGGAAAGAGAACUCUCAAAGCGUGCAGACUUCCUUCCUGGACCAUCCCUCUUUCUAUUACUUCCUCAUUAUAUUAGCAGCUGCCAGAGGAUCCAAGAUAAACCCUUUUUCCCAGGCUGCCUGAGAGGCCAGGAACCAGGCAGGGGCUGUUUUAUUGCCUCAUUAUCAGGGCCAACCUCCUGAUUUACACUGUAGACUGUAAACAACGUGGGCUUGUGUUUGCACACUUGUGAGUGCUUCCACACCCACACAGCACAUCCACACACCAAUGUUGUGUUAAUCCUGUGCAUUCUGAAGGAGAUUUUGGAAGUAUGGACUCAGCAACAGGUUCUUUUUGUAAGGUUUAUGCCUUACCACAGCCCAGCAAGGCUUUUCUGACGUGAUCAGCUGAGCCAAGAGAGCCACCAAUAUGUAAGCAAGUGCCCAUCUCAACCCAUCUUAUACUCACACAAAUGGAUGCUUUCACUAACAACACCCAGUCCUGCCCCCAACAGAAUGUGUACUGAUAGACUUAUGGGUGUGCAAGGGACUCCUUGAAGCAUGCUAGAUGUCUACAUGGAGAGCUCAAGGCAGGAAGAGAUGUCAGAGCAGCUUGGAGCAACAUCUGAUGACCCUUAUCUUCAUUUCUGUACCUUAGUCUCUCCUUCACCUGUAACCAAGACCUAUUCUAUGGCACCCCGUUUCUUAUUGCUCCUAUAUUUUGUCAUCAUAUGUGGGCUUGCCACCAGGAUGUAUUUAUUUGGAAGCAUAUAUUGAAACUGGAUAUGGUAGAAAAUACCACUAAUGUCAUCACUGGGGAGGCUGAAGCACAAGGAUUAGGGGGUUGGGCUCCACCUUGGCUACAUACUGAGCUUGAGGCAAGCCUGGACAACAUGGCUGUACAAGACUGUGUUUCAUAAAACGAUGAAAAGGGCUGGGCUUGGUGGCACAUGUCUUUAAUCCCUAUACCCAGGAGGCAGAGGCAGGCAGACUUUAGGCCAGCUGGGAUACAUACUGAGACCCUGCCCCCCAAAUAAAAGGAAAAUGAAAUCUAUAUGUUGUAAUGAUGUGGAAUCAUGUGUACCACAUUGUCAUUGCCACACACCCCCAUCAUUAAUGGAACUGGGGCAUCUAUAGGGCUGUUUAUAUAGGAGCCACAACCUAGUCUAACCAGGUACCAGUGGAUUGAUUUUAUAUAUAUAAUUUUUAACCAUUGGAUUUAUAUAUCUUGGCCUGGACCAGGGGUUGAUUUUAUAUAUAUGACUCCACUGAUAAAUGGAGCACCUUGAUGGCUGGGGGUAUAUUUCAGUGGUAACAGCAUUUACCUAGUUGUGGUGAGGCCUUGGGCUGCUCAGCACUGAAAACACACAUACUCUCUCUGUGUCUUUGAGUCUAUCACUGUCUGUCUGUCUCUGCCCCCCCCCCCUCUAACACACACACACAAUCUCUCAUAUGCCUGCCAUGCACAAAGCCCUGGGUUUCAUCCUCAUAACACAUACACACUUACCCUAUUGUACACUCUUUCCCUAUUGUACACACACACAUUAAAUGUUAAAAAAAAAAAAAAAGAUAACCACUAGAAACCAAAGACCAUCCUCUAAGGAACUGUCAGUUUUGCUGCUUUUUAUUUAACAUAUUUAAUGUAGAUUCCAGCGUUCCCAGUUUUCUAGUUUAUUCUCACUUUUGGUUGUCCCAUCCACCUAUGCCUAGCGAAGAAGGUUAUAGGCCUGGGUGCUCAAAUGUGACUGCAGUGGUUUUCCCAUGCUUGGCCAACGGGAAGUGGCACUAUUAGGAAGUGUUGGAGGAACUGUGUUGCUGUGUAGGUAGGUUUUGAGGUCUCCUAGUGCUCAAGUUCCCCACCCCCAGUGUGGAAGAGAACCUGCCUCCUCCUAGCUGCCUGCAGAAUAGAAUCUUCUCCUGGCCACUUGCAGAAGACAGUCUCUUCCUGGCUACCCUCAGAUCAAGAUAUAGAACUCUCAUCAUGCUCUCCGCCACUAAACAUUUGAAACUAUAUGCCAGCCCCAGUUAAAUGUUUUCUUUUAUAAGAGUUGCCUUGCCCACUGUGUCUCUUCACAGCAAUACAACCCUAGCUAAGACAGUGACUGAAUUUAUUUUCAUAUUUGUCAGAUGGAUAGUAAAUAAUUUCACACAUGAGCAAAGGCCAAAUACUGUGGUGGUGUCUCAUAGGUGUCAGAGAGCCAUCAAAAUGUGACACCAUGAGUCACCCUUCAGGAUACCUCUCUAACCCUAACCCUGAUGCCCACAUGAACUUAAUUUCUUCUCACAGGGUAUUUCUACUCAGAUCUUUGGAUAUUAAAAUAUUAAGCCAGUUGUCUGGUGCUUGUCUCCAAAAUACUCACUCCGUAGGCUGAGGCAGGAGAAUGAGGGGAGUUCAAGGCCAGCCUGGGCUACAAAAAUGAGCCCUCACGUCAAUAAAUAAACCAAGAAAUAAAUGCAAAACUUAGGAAAAACUUCCAAGCUUAGAGUCUGUUAGGAGUAUCCUACAUUCUCUCUCCAGCUCCCACAAGUUCUGAGUCGAGGAAAUUCUGGGCUAGAAUUGAACCUCAUCUUUUGCCCCUGCAUUCUCCAGCAGAGCAGCCCCAGGUACACACUGUAACACACACACUGGGCCUUCUUGCCCGCCCCCCCCCCCCACAGCUCACUAUUCAUUUCCUCUCCCCCUACACAUUCCAGCCCCUCCCAUCCUGCCCCUGACAAACCCUUUCGUGACCCUGCUAAGAAGCAAGUCACAGACUCUGCUCCAUUCUUUCUCCUUGCAAAGGUCCUUAACUGUGGCCCUGACUCCCCCAUUUCGUCCCACUUUGUGGGUGCCUCCUUUUUCUUGUUUGAAAGACGUUUCACCAGGACAAUUGGUCCUGGGUUCUCCAACCUAUUUAUGGAGUCCCCUCUGCCAUCUUUCUCCACAUCCCAGACAGGAGGGCAGUCAUCUGAUUCAUGCAGUGAUUCCUUCCAGUCCAGAACGGAUCCAGUUUCUCUCUUCCCUUGUUUGUGGCUCUUACUGCUGCAAAUGUUGUUCUUCUAAUGUUCAUCCUGCCAGUUCAGAAUAAGACCACUACCAGAAUUUAAAACCAAUCUGAAGCAAGCUUUAAUCGAAUACUGACCAAGUGGAUGAACAUGUACCAGGUCCAUACCUUGGUUCCCAGAAAAUGGCCAUUAAUCAUGUUUUGCAGAGGCUAAAAGAGAAAAACCCACAGUUUACUUCAUUUCCCAUCAUGUCCAGUCAGGGGCAAGCAUACAUCUUAAUAUAUAUAUUUCCUGUCCAGUCAGGAGCAAGCAUAUGUCCUACGUCCUGAUAUAUUUCUUUCCUGCCUUCCUCCUCCUCCUUCUUCUUUUUUUUUUUUUUUGGUUUUUCGAGACAGGGUUUCUCUGUAUAGCCCUGGCUGUCCUGGAGCUCACUUUGUAGACCAGGCUGGCCUCGAACUCAGAAAUCCGCCUGCCUCUGCAUCCCGAGCGCUGGGAUUAAAGGUGUGCGCCAACACCGCCUGACUUUUCCUGCCCAUCUUCUUCCUGCCCACAUGGAUCAAGCACAUCCAGUAUAUUUGGGUCAAACAAACAACAGCAAACAAACAAUAGCCUCCAGCGUUUAACGUUGGUUCUCACAUUAGCAUUUUCUCAAAUAUUUGACCCAUCCACUAACAAAAGGUAUGUACAAAGUUUCUAAAUUUCUAAAUGUUAAAUGGACAUUGUAUUUUCUUUUCUCUUCUUCUUCUUCUUCUUCUUCUUCUUCUUCUUCUUCUUCUUCUUCUUCUUCUUCUUCUUCUUCUUCUUUUCUCUUCUUCUUCCUCCUUCUUUCCCUCUUCCACCUCCUCCUCUUCUUCUCUCCCCACUUUCUUUUUCUUUUUUUGAAGACAGCAUGUGUGUGUGUGUGUGUGUGUGUGUGUGUGUGUGUGUGUGUGUGCUUAUCCCAUAGCCUAGGUGGCCUAGAACUCACUAUAGCCCAGGUUGGUCUGAACCUUAUAUCUCAGACCGGCCUAGACUUCACUUUGUAGCUCAGGCUGGCCUCGAACUUGCAUUAGCCCUCUUGCCUUAGCUGUUGGGAUCACAUCUGUGAGCCACCAUGUCCAACUUUAACUCUUCCCAUUUUAGAUAUAGCUUACAUCUCACAGGGUACUAUCUGUGAAACCAGUGAGCUCGUUGAAAAUGUAUAAUGACAUAGAAGCCGAAAAGGUGAGAUUAAAAAAAUAAACAAAUAGAGGUAUUGUCUUCCCAUGUCCUAGUGAGUGCUAUAGGGCAGGCCUGGGAAGACACACCCAGCACUGCACACAAGGACCAGAUGCUGACCAUGGUCCCGAGUCCCUGGCCCCUGCCACACUUUACUUCUCUUUCCUGCCUAGCAUGGUGUUUGUUUGUACAAAGCAGUGAGUUCUUUUUCUCUCUUCUUCAGGAACCUUUGGCGCUCUGGUCUAGCAGGGGACAAGUCUGUGUCCCAUGUGACCUGCAGGUCACUGCAGUCUCAGCAUGACCUCAGCUCCAGGCCUCCUCUCCUGCACCCUCUCUCUGUCUCCCCCUGUACUUCCUUGUACGGCCACUCCCAUGCAUCGAGGUUGCCCUCCUCACAGCUAUGUCCCAUGUCUUGGCACACAGCCACCUCCUGCUCAGCAACACGACUCAAUCACAGCGCCUCUUAACUCUUCAACUGGAUUAUGAUCCCCGUGAGGUCAUGGCUCAGGUUUCUCCUCCAUUCCUAACCUUCUCUGAGGACAGGGACCUGGACUUUGGACCCCACCUCUUCCUAUCACUUCAGUGCCAUUACUCUCUUUGAAGGAUGGCAAGGGUCAUGAGAGCCCUCGCAGUGGCCAUUUGGGCAGAGGCGGUCAUAGAGGCCGUGGAAUCUUGGGUGCAGCCUGACUUACAGAUGACUUGAGUGCAGCUUAACACUGCCUGUUACUAACUAACACAUUAACACUUAACACCGCAAAAUCUCCACUCCAGCUCAGCUCUGUGAAGCAGGGCUUGUCCCAGCAAUGGGGUAAUAAUAUAGUCUUUUAAAAAUUUAAUUGAAGAGCUGUUUUUUGUGGCAAUUACGCUUUUGACUGAUGACUACCUUAAGCCAAUGUUGAUACUUAACAGAUUCAUCAGCAAAGUGCCUAAUUAGGGCUCAGAACAUGAACAUACCUGCAUCUUUGAGCUGACAGUCUCCUGAAUUGAGCAGGAGGCCCUUACCAAUCAAUGCACCUACUCACUAGUGGCAGGCAGGAUGCUAAGGGCAUUUCAAGAUGCAGAGCAUUCAGGAACAGAUGACUUUGAAGCACCAAGAGUCACAAACCUGGAACUUCUCCGGAGUCUUCUUGGACUCUCUGUUAAAACUCAGCAGCGGGGGCUGGUGAGAUGGCUCAGUGGGUAAGUGCUCUUCUGAAGGUCCAGAGUUCAAAUCCCAGCAACCACAUGGUGGCUCACAACC